rnacentral:rRNA from 1 species
AUUGAACGCUGGCGGCAUGCUUUACACAUGCAAGUCGAACGGCAGCGCGGGCUUCGGCCUGGCGGCGAGUGGCGAACGGGUGAGUAAUGCAUCGGAACGUGCCCAGAAGUGGGGGAUAGCCCGGCGAAAGCCGGAUUAAUACCGCAUACGACCUGAGGGUGAAAGCGGGGGACCGAAAGGCCUCGCGCUAUUGGAGCGGCCGAUGUCGGAUUAGCUAGUUGGUGGGGUAAAGGCUUACCAAGGCGACGAUCCGUAGCUGGUCUGAGAGGACGAACAGCCACACUGGGACUGAGACACGGCCCAGACUCCUGCGGGAGGCAGCAGUGGGGAAUUUUGGACAAUGGGGGCAACCCUGAUCCAGCCAUGCCGCGUGCGGGAAGAAGGCCUUCGGGUUGUAAACCGCUUUUGUUCGGGAAGAAAUCCUCUGGGCUAAUACCCCGGGGGGAUGACGGUACCGGAAGAAUAAGCACCGGCUAACUACGUG